ACUGCAAUGCACUCUAGUCCAGCUUUGUGUGGCAAAGACCAGCUCUGAGACGCCUUGGCCAGCCUUGAAGAGCUUUUCAAGGGAAACCUGGAAGAAGACUCAGUGGCUGCGCUACCCUUUGCACAGGAACAGCUGUUGAGCUGAGGUUGUCAUGCUCGACCCUCAUCUGAGCUACGCUGCAGCUGCCCUGCACGUGCCUGUGCCUGGCCACACACCCCACUGAUCCAGACCGAGACUAACGUCCCAGUUUGACCUGGGAACUGCCUCAUCGUUCUGAUCUUGCCUUGUGAUCACUGGAGACACCUGGGUUACUGUCUCUGGGCUACCACGACUUGCUGACUUGUGUUCCCGGCUUCACCUUAGAGCUGCCUCAUCACCAGGAACUUGCCUGACCUCUUCACUGAACCUUGUGCGAUCUCUACUUUCCUCUGAACCUCAUUCCUGUCUCCAGACCUGCCCUGCUUUGGUACCACGGGAUGGGGCCCCGGCUGGUGAGUCCCUUGCUCUGCCGGGCUUGUUAGCACGCUCUGCCCACGGCUCCCCAGCCCUGAGGGCCAGACAUCCCUCGCUGGGGCUGACAGUGAUGCUGGAACUGGGAGUACAGACCGGAUACCCACAAAAUAAAGGUCUGGCACCGUGUUAGAGCCCUGCUGAGCUGGGAAGAGAAUCCAAGAGCAUCCUGCUAAGUGUUGGAUGAAACUCAGAAGUGCAACCAGAAGAGUCCCUUAGAGUAGUGUCACCUUUGGGGAUCCUCGGCAGAAUGAUGAUGGCACCAGAGGUCAGGAGCAGGAGGUACCAGUCACAAAUAGACGUGGGACAUCCUUCAAGUCGUUUUGCCCCCUGAUGCUACCAAAAGGCCAUCAAGAUGACAGUGGAAGAGGGCCUGACCUAAAGCAGGGUUGCUUCUACCAGGUUUCAAUCGGACACCUCAGCGGAAAAGCGAUUACCAUCGUGAGAUCAGUACUCCUCCACGCCAGUGGUCUCCCAAGUGGGCUGCGCACACGCCAGGCACGGCGCAAGACAAGUUACUGGCAUGCAAGAAGAAAAUACAUUUAAAU